rnacentral:lncRNA from 1 species
AAUUAGCAAGGUAAAUGAAUGAAACCAAUUAAUGAACUACCUUUCUUCGAGAUGUAAUCUUUAAACCAUUUUUCUAGACAUCAGUUAAACGACCAAACUUAAUCCGAUCCAACUCUUAGGGUUUUUUGUCCUAUUGAGCUAAAGAGUCCUUAGGGCCAACGUCUAAUUAAUUUUAAAUUAAAAUUUAGGUCAAUGCAAAUGCAGGAUGGUGAUUUGUGGGCCA